rnacentral:rRNA from 1 species
GACGAACGCUGGCGGCGUGCUUAACACAUGCAAGUCGAACGCUGAAGCUCAGCUUUUGUUGGGUGGAUGAGUGGCGAACGGGUGAGUAACACGUGAGUAACCUGCCCCCUUCUUUGGGAUAACGCCCGGAAACGGGCGCUAAUACUGGAUAUUCACUGGUCUUCGCAUGGGGGUUGGUGGAAAGGGUUUUUCUGGUGGGGGAUGGGCUCGCGGCCUAUCAGCUUGUUGGUGGGGUGAUGGCCUACCAAGGCUUUGCCGGGUAGCCGGCCUGAGAGGGUGACCGGUAACAUAGGGACGGAGAUGCGGCCCAGACUACGACGGGAGGCAGCAGUGGGGAAUAUUGCACAAUGGGCGAAAGCGUGAUGCAGCGACGCUGCGUGAGGGAUGGAGGCCGUCGGGUUGUGAACCUCUUUCGCUCAUGGUCAAGCCGAAACAAUGGUUGUGGUGAGGGUAGUGGGUAAAGAAGCGCCGGCUAACUACGUG